CCGGCACGGGUGAGUAACACGUAUCCAACCUGCCGUCUACUCUUGGACAGCCUUCUGAAAGGAAGAUUAAUACAAGAUGGCAUCAUGAGUCCGCAUGUUCACAUGAUUAAAGGUAUUCCGGUAGACGAUGGGGAUGCGUUCCAUUAGAUAGUAGGCGGGGUAACGGCCCACCUAGUCUUCAAUGGAUAGGGGUUCUGAGAGGAAGGUCCCCCACAUUGGAACUGAGACACGGUCCAA
rnacentral:rRNA from 1 species